AAUAAAGUGCCUGAUAAAAAGGAUUAUUCUGAUAGGAUAAAUAAUGUAAUAUAUUUACCUUUAUUA
rnacentral:tRNA from 4 species